rnacentral:pre_miRNA from 1 species
CUAGUACUACCUCCGUCCGGAAAUACUUGUCGUAGAAAUGGAUACAAAUGGACGUAUCUAAAACUAAAAUACAUCUAGAUACAUCCAUUCCUCGGACAAGUAUUUUGGGACGGAGGGAGUAUUGU